rnacentral:rRNA from 1 species
AACUCGACUGCGUGAAGUCGGCAUCGCUAGUAAUCGUGAAUCAGAAUGUCACGGUGAAUACGUUCCCGGGCCUUGUACACACCGCCCGUCACACCAUGGGAGUGGGUUGCUCCAGAAGAAGGUAGUCUAACCUUCGGGGGGACGGUUACCACGGAGUGAUUCAUGACUGGGGUGAAGUCGUAAAAAAAAUGAGCAAAUCCCUA